GCCAUCUGUUCAGAGGGUGACUUUUGUGGCUGUUUAAUGGGUCCCUCUGCCUUUGUUCUCACCCCCUUUUGCUUCUGCACCCUCUCAGUACCCCGGCCUCAGGACCGUCUCUGGCUGUUAUCCUCCACUCCCUACACUAUAUGCUCCCAGGGAUCUGACCCCGGCCCAGGGUUUCUGCCUCACCUACUAUGUCUCCACUGCACACUCUUUGCUCUAGUCUAUCUGGGUUUCUCUGGGCUCUGGGCCACCUCCAAACCUUUCCAUAUGCUCUUCCUUCUGCCUGGGCCACUCUGGCCCCGGCUGCUUCUUACCGACCACCCCCUCUAGGAAGGCUUCCCUGGCCCCACAGGCUGGCCUGUGCUCCCUUCCUGUGCUCCCAGUCCGGCUCCAUGACCCUUUGAAGGCUGUGGGAUCUUUGCGGACAGGGAUUCUGGCUAACCAGCGCCUAGUCAAACGGACAACAUCUCAGUGGCCUGCUGCAGACUCUCUCUGGGAAGUAACACCUCGGCCCUGGGGCUGCCCAAGUGCCCGGCCAGGACACCAGACCCUGCCUCUUGGAAAGAAGAGGGAAGAAGAACUCAUUCUGUG
rnacentral:lncRNA from 1 species